GUAGUCCAUGCCGUAAACGAUGAGUGCUAGGUGUUAGGGGGUUUCCGCCCCUUAGUGCUGAAGUUAACGCAUUAAGCACUCCGCCUGGGGAGUACGGCCGCAAGGCUGAAACUCAAAAGAAUUGACGGGGACCCGCACAAGCGGUGGAGCAUGUGGUUUAAUUCGAAGCAACGCGAAGAACCUUACCAGGUCUUGACAUCCUUUGACCGCUCUAGAGAUAGAGUUUUCCCUUCGGGGACAAAGUGACAGGUGGUGCAUGGUUGUCGUCAGCUCGUGUCGUGAGAUGUUGGGUUAAGUCCCGCAACGAGCGCAACCCUUAAUCUUAGUUGCCAGCAUUUAGUUGGGCACUCUAAGGUGACUGCCGGUGACAAACCGGA
rnacentral:rRNA from 1 species